rnacentral:lncRNA from 1 species
ACUAUUAUUUAUAUUCCCCAAAUGAAUGAGAACAUAUAAUGUUUGUCCUUCUCCGACUGACUUACUUCACUCAGCAUAAUACCCUCCAGUUCCAUCCACGUUGAAGCAAAUGGUGGGUAUUUGUCAUUUCUAAUAGCUGAGUAAUAUUCCAUUGUAUACAUAAACCACAUCUUCUUUAUCCAUUCAUCUUUCGUUGGACACCGAGGCUCCUUCCACAGUUUGGCUAUCGUGGCCAUUGCUGCUAGAAACAUCGGGGUGCAGGUGUCCCGGCGUUUCAUUGCAUUUGUAUCUUUGGGGUAAAUCCCCAACAGUGCAAUGCUGGGUCGUAGGGCAGGUAUAUUUUUAACUCUUUGAGGAACCUCCACACUGUCUUCCAGAGUGGCUGCACCAGUUCACAUUCCCACCAACAGUGUAAGAGGGUUCCCUUUUCUCCGCAUCCUCUCCAACAUUUGUUGUUUCCUGCCUUGUUAAUUUUCCCCAUUCUCACUGGUGUGAGGUGGUAUCUCAUUGUAGUUUUGAUUUGUUUUUCCCUGAUGGCAAGUGAUGCAGAGCAUUUUCUCAUAUGCAUGUUGGCCAUGUCUAUGUCUUCCUCUGUGAGUUUUUCUCUUCAUGUUUUUUUGCCCAUUUCAUGAUUGGAUUGUUUGUUCUUUGGUGUUGAGUUUAAUAAGUUCUUUAUAGAUCUUGGAAACUAGCCCUUUAUCUGAUAUGUCAUUUGCAAAUAUCUUCUCCCAUUCUGUAGGUUGUCUUUGAGUUUUGUUGACUGUAUCCUUUGCUGUGCAAAAGCUCUUAUCUUGAUGAAGUCCCAAGUUCAUUUUUGCUUUUGUUUCUUUUGCCUUCGUGGAUGUAUCUUGCAAGAAGUUACUAUGUCCGAGUUCAAAAAGGGUGUUGCCUGUGUUCUCCUCUAGGAUUUUGAUGGAAUCUUGUCUCACAUUUAGAUCUUUCAUCCAUUUUGAGUUUAUCUUUGUGUAUGGUGAAAGAGAGUGGUCUAGUUUCAUUCUUCUGCAUGUGGAUGUCCAAUUUUCCCAGCACCAUUUAUUGAAGAGACUGUCUUUCUUCCAAUGGAUAGUCUUUCCUCCUUUAUCGAUAUUAGUUGCCCAUAAGUUCAGGGUCCACUUCUGGAUUCUCUAUUCUGUUCCACUGAUCUAUGUGUCUGUUUUUGUGCCAGUACCACACUGUCUUGAUGACCACAGCUUUGUAGUACAACCUGAAAUCUGGCAUUGUGAUGCCCCAGAUAUGGUUUUCUUUUUUAAAAUUCCCCUGGCUAUUCGGGGUCUUUUCUGAUUCCACACAAAUCUUAAAAUAAUUUGUUCUAACUCUCUGAAGAAAGUCCAUGGUAUUUUGAUAGGGAUUGCAUUAAACGUGUAUAUUGCCCUGGGUAACAUUGACAUUUUCACAAUAUUAAUUCUGCCAAUCCAUGAGCAUGGAAUAUUUUUCCAUCUCUUUGUGUCUUCCUCAAUUUCUUUCAGAAGUGUUCUAUAGUUUUGAGGGUAUAGAUCCUUUACAUCUUUGGUGAGGUUUAUUCCUAGGUAUCUUAUGCUUUUGGGUGCAAUUGUAAAUGGGAUGACUCCUUAAUUUCUCUUUCUUCAGUCUCAUUGUUAGUGUAUAGAAAUGCCACUGACUUCUGGGCAUUGAUUUUGUAUCCUGCCGCUACCGAAUUGCUGUAUGAGUUCUAGCAAUCUUGGGGUGGAGACUUUUGGUUUUCUAUGUAGAGUAUCAUGUCCUCGGCAAAGAGGGAGAGUUUGACUUCUUCUUUGCCAAUUUGAAUGCCUUUAAUGUCUUUUUGUUGUCUGAUUGCUGAGGCUAGGACUUCCAGUACUAUGUUGAAUAGCAGUGGUGAGAGUGGACAUCCCUGUCUUGUUCCUGAUCUUAGGGGAAAGGCUCCCAGUGCUUCCCAUUGAGAAUGAUAUUUGCUGUGGGCUUUUCAUAGAUGGCUUUAAGAUGUCGAGGAAUGUUCCCUCUAUCCCUACACUCUGAAGAGUUUUGAUCAGGAAUGGAUGCUGUAUUUUGUCAAAUGCUUUCUCUGCAUCCAAUGAGAGGAUCAUAUGGUUCUUGGUUUUCUCUUGCUGAUAUGAUGAAUCACAUUGAUUGUUUUACGGGUGUUGAACCAGCCUUGUGUCCCAGGGAUAAAUCCUACUUGGUCAUGGUGAAUAAUUUUCUUAAUGUACUGUUGGAUCCUAUUGGCCAGUAUCUUGUUGAGAAUUUUUGCAUCCAUGUUCAUCAGGGAUAUUGGUCUGUAAUUCUCCUUUUUGGCGGGGUCUUUGUCUGGCUUUGGAAUUAAGGUGAUGCUGGCUUCAUAGAACGAAUUUGGAAGUACUCCAUCUCUUUCUAUCUUUCCAAACAGCUUUAGGAGAAUAGGUAUGAUUUCUUCUUUAAACGUUUGAUAAAAUUCUCCUGGGAAGCCAUCUGGCCCUGGACUCUUGUGUCUUGGGAGGUUUUUGAUGACUGCUUCAAUUUCCCUCCUGGUUAUUGGCCUGUUCAGGUUUUCUAUUUCUUCCUGUUCCAGUUUUGGUAGUUUGUGGCUUUCCAGGAAUGCGUCCAUUUCUUCAAGAUUGCCUAAUUUAUUGGCGUAUAGCUGUUCAUAAUAUGUUUUUAAAAUCGUUUGUAUUUCCUUGGUGUUGGUAGUGAUCUCUCCUUUCUCAUUCAUGAUUUUAUUAAUUUGAGUCUUCUCUCUCUUCUUUUUAAUAAGGCUGGCUAAUGGUUUAUCUAUCUUAUUAAUUCUUUCAAAGAACCAACUCCUGGUUCUUGUUGAUCUGUUCCACAGUUCUUCUGGUCUCGAUUUCGUUGAGUUCUGCUCGAAUCUUUAUUAACUCCCUUCUUCUCUUGGGUGUAGGAUCUAUUGCUGUUUUUUCUCUAGCUCCUUUAUGUGUAAGGUUAGCUUUUGUAUUUGAGUUCUUUCCAGUUUUUGAAUGGAUGCUUGUAUUGCGAUGUAUUUCCCCCUUAG